GGGGAAUCUUGCGCAAUGCGCGAAAGCGUGACGCAGCAACGCCGCGUGCGGGAAGACGGCCUUCGGGUUGUAAACCGCUUUCAGUUGGGACGAAGCUUCGCCGGUUAAUAGCCGGCCGGAGUGACGGUACCUUCACAAGAAGCCCCGGCUAACUACGUGCCAGCAGCCGCGGUAAUACGUAGGGGGCAAGCGUUGUCCGGAAUCAUUGGGCGUAAAGCGCGUGUAGGCGGCUUCGUCAGUCCGUUGUGAAAGUCCAGGGCUCAACCCUGGAAUGCCGAUGGAUACUGCGGAGCUCGAGUCCGGAAGAGGCAAGUGGAAUUCCUGGUGUAGCGGUGAAAUGCGCAGAUAUCAGGAGGAACACCAAUGGCGAAGGCAGCUUGCUGGGACGGUACUGACGCUGAGACGCGAAAGCGUGGGGAGCAAACA
rnacentral:rRNA from 1 species